rnacentral:lncRNA from 1 species
UCUAUAUUGGCGGCUUUGCCCUUGGUUUUCAUUUUUGGGGCAGCUUUCGUCGUCGUCUUCUUGACGGUGGUUUUCGAUAUUCAUUUCUAGAAAGGCGAGUUCUUAUAAUUAACAUAAUUGGAACCCGGGUCAGAAAAAAGCUCAAAGUUAUAAAAAAAACAAGAGAAGCGAGUUAAGUUAUUUUACCUCUGGAGCCGGGUUGGAGAGGCAGAACGGUUUUAAGCCAAUCUUGGAGCAAUUCUCAAGUGGUUCGCCACACUUGUAUUCACAAUAUUAACAAUAUAUUCCUCUGCAAGAAUGACGUUGUAGAAGCAUUACAGAUGGUUUAAGCUGCCA